GCUAGGAUUAUUGGUAUAGUAAUUAAGUACAGAAAUAGUAUGAGCAAUAUCAGGUCUAGAUGAAUGGAUAGAUAUUUGAGAGAUUCAAUAAUUUCAGCAUAUCUUUCUUGACUCACAGAUUUAUCAGAGUUCUUUGAGAGUUAGAUAGAAGGAUCAAAAGGAGUAGAAAUAAGAAAUCAAAAUAACAAAAAUUUACAAUCAACAACUGUGCAUAAUGAGAUUGAGAUAAAGUAAUAGAAUUAGAGGAUAAAAUG
rnacentral:lncRNA from 1 species